rnacentral:tRNA from 1 species
GGGGCCGUAGCUCAGUUGGGAGAGCGCCUGAAUGGCAUUCAGGAGGUCGUGGGUUCGAUUCCCUUCGGCUCCACCA